GGACUCAAAUAAUUAACAUUUAGAUAUUUUAUUUAUAAUAUACAGAAAAAACUAAAAGGGCAAAAAUACUGUUUUCUCUUUUCUACUUCCAGCCAUUUCCUCCCCUUAUUUCAGCCUUCAACAACACCCAGAUCAAAACCCCCCCGGUUUUUUGUGAGAAAAAAAGAGGAGUUUUUUGGGAGAGAAACGAAGAGAGGACAGCACAACAACCGGUAGCUGGCAUUGAUGUGAAGGAGUCGACGGUGGAUCCUUUCUUGGUUGAGGCUUUACAGAACCACAUCUUCCUUACACCACAGGUUGCGUGUCCCUGACGUUUGCCUUCCCACGGCAGCCUUCUUCUUGUUGCUGUUUCCCACCAUUAUUCCGCCAUCCUGAAUCGUAACAUAUAACUGGGUUUGUUUAUGGAAGACUUGGAGUGGGUUUUUUAAAGGGACAGACCAAGUGUGCGAAUGAGCAGCUUUGACUAUUCUGAAUCUUCAUCGAUUACAGUUCUCCCAAUCUCAGCUUCCAGCUCAUCCAUUCCAAAGGCUUUUGUUGUAGACAAGCCCAUGUUCAGCCAGAUAAGUUGCUUUUAAAACCUGGUUUGCUUUGUGCUGGUUUGGUUUGCCUUUUUAAUCAUUAUGGGUCUGCAGAUUAUGAUUUUAUCUGGAUUUGCAUGUUAGUUGUUGUUUUUUGUUUCCAUUUUUAUGUUUUCUCUCUUUUUUUGGUUCUUUUUACUGUUUGAUGUUUUGUUCUGCUGUUUUUGUUGCUUGGAUUAGUUGCAGUUCUGAUUCUAAUGGUUCUGUUUCUCCUUCUCAGUCUCUGCCUUUACAAUAGAGGAGUCUGUCUUGCUACCAAGGUUCUUAGUUGCUUCCGAGGUCUAUUUUGCGACUUUGUUCCUGUUCAUGUUGGUUUUUAAGUGUUCUCUGUCCUGUGGAUAUCAACUUCUUCUUUUUCUAUUUGUUUUCCAGCUCUUUUUUUGGGUUGUUUCAUGUUUCGCUCCUAUUGGCUGGUUGUGCUGAUUCUCAUCUUUUUUUCUCCUUCCUUCUCAGCCUCGAGCUUUUGCUGGGAGGAGGCUGUGUUGUUAUAAGGAUCAUUGGUGCAUUUUGGAGUUACAAUCGAUUUUAGAACGUUCUUCUUUGGUCGCCACUUCUGUCAAUAGCAAACCUGUUCUCAAUUGACAGGUUGGCUGUCGUGUGCUUGGACAGUGUAAGGUUGACCUGAUGAUAUUUGCUUGAAAAGAAAAGGGAGGGAAACAUUUGGCAGACUGCAGAGAGGAAUUCAGAUUCUACUUGUUGCUUUAAGUUGGUCAGCUAUAGAUGGAUAGAUACAAAGUGGGGCGGGUCAAACGAUAGAUUAGCCAUCGGUACACGCACAUGGUGCCCUUCUGUUUCAGGGGAAGGAAAAAUGUCAUAAAGCAUGAAACCGUUUUAUAAUGAUUAAUUUAAAGCACUUCUUUGUUUUCGGUCAAGCCAAAGAUAACGCUAUUGCAGAUACUUAUUUUGGAGAUAUCCAUUUAAGCGUAAAUGGUGCUUUGUUUGUCAUGGUUUCAGAUUACGUGAAAUGCAGCCCAUUAAAGCAGCAUGGCCUAUUUCUCUUUCUAACUUUGUGUUCCAUUCUUCUGUGGUUGGAUUUGCUAUUCCACGAACAAUUAGCGUUGAGCCACACGGCUUUGCAGUCUACAGACUUCCAUGGAGGGCCGAGUUUUUUUUUUUUCACCCUGCCCUUUGAGAAGCCUUUCUCAAGACCUCUGCUGCUGCUUCGUCUCAAGCCUGCACACACCAUCAUCUUGGCAAUCUUUUUCCCUUUUCCCUUUGUGCUAAUAAGAUUAUCUGUGCGACCUAAGAACAUGCCAUGUCAUUUAAGAGCCAUUGUUGCUGUCGUUUGCAGUUAGAUCUUCCUGGAACCUUGCCAAGUCAUUGCAUUUGUUGCUGUUUUGGGUUUCCCCAUGUUAAAGCAUGCCUUUUCGGCUUCUUAACUUGCAA